CCUACGGGUGGCUGCAGUGAGGAAUAUUGGUCAAUGGACGAGAGUCUGAACCAGCCAAGUAGCGUGAAGGUUGACUGCCCUAUGGGUUGUAAACUUCUUUUAUAAAGGAAUAAAACGUGGCACGCGUGCCUUUUUGCAUGUACUUUAUGAAUAAGGAUCGGCUAACUCCGUGCCAGCAGCCGCGGUAAUACGGAGGAUCCGAGCGUUAUCCGGAUUUAUUGGGUUUAAAGGGUGCGCAGGCGGCCUGUUAAGUCAGCGGUAAAAGCCCGGGGCUCAACCCCGGCGAGCCGUUGAAACUGGCGGGCUGGAGUUGGAGAGAAGUACGCGGAAUGCGCGGUGUAGCGGUGAAAUGCUUAGAUAUCGCGCAGAACCCCGAUUGCGAAGGCAGCGUGCCGGCUCCACACUGACGCUGAGGCACGAAAGCGUGGGUAUCGAACAGGAUUAGAUACCCCUGUAGUC
rnacentral:rRNA from 1 species